AUAUUUCCUCGGCAAAGCUAGGGAAACCUAGUGACGCAAAGCUUGAGUCUAAAGUUAUCUAAAAGGUAAUUAUGAUCGUUCAGCUGCAUAA
rnacentral:ncRNA from 2 species